rnacentral:misc_RNA from 1 species
GAGAUUUUGGUAUCCCUCAUCAUGCAUCCAAGCGAUCGCUGAGCUCAUUUGGUCUGGAACUUUCCAGCAGCUAGAAGCUCGAUGGAUUACGUCCGGUGUACGAAAAAGCAAAAAAGUUAAUCCAAGAUUCAUCUCACAGCACCAUCAUAUUCAUCAGGAUUUAUUGGAAUCACCAAUUCUACAAUGCAACAUACAUACAUACAUACAUACAUACAU